UGGCGAACGGGUGAGUAACACGUGGGUAACCUGCCCAUCAGAAGGGGAUAACACUUGGAAACAGGUGCUAAUACCGUAUUACACUAUUUUCCGCAUGGAAGAAAGUUGAAAGGCGCUUUUGCGUCACUGAUGGAUGGACCCGCGGUGCAUUAGCUAGUUGGUGAGGUAACGGCUCACCAGGCAACGAUGCAUAGCCGACCUGAGAGGGUGAUCGGCCACACUGGGACUGAGACACGGCCCAGACUCCUACGGGAGGCAGCAGUAGGGAAUCUUCGGCAAUGGACGAAAGUCUGACCGAGCAACGCCGCGUGAGUGAAGAAGGUUUUCGGAUCGUAAAACUCUGUUGUUAAAGAAGAACAAGGAUGAGAGUAAU
rnacentral:rRNA from 1 species